rnacentral:misc_RNA from 1 species
AAGUCGUAACAAGGUUUCCGUAGGUGAACCUGCGGAAGGAUCAUUAACAAAUUCCAAACACUCGUCUUUGCUCAAGAGGCAUUGGGGCCUAGGCACCAAUCCUCUCGGGUUAUAUGACACAUCAUUUACAUUCACAAUUGACAACAACCGGAUAUCCAAACUUUAAUAGUUCAAAACAACUUUUAACAAUGGAUCUCUUGGCUCUU